UUUUUUUUUACUCUUACCAACUUGAUGCUUUAACAAACAAAACGAUGCUAAGUUUUUUUUUUUUUUGAUAUAUUUUAAAGAAACAAUAAUAUUUGAAUGGACUUCGAAAUGAUCAAGAAAUUGUUAGUAAUUAGAUUUAGUUGUAAUACUUUUGUCAUUGAAGACUACUUUGAUAACAAAGUGAAUGACAAAGAGAAAAGAGGUAAAGGUGAAAAAGUAAAUAUGAAUGGACCGCUUACCAAAACUUUCAUUAGAUG
rnacentral:lncRNA from 1 species